ensembl:lncRNA
CCCUACUUUCUUCAAUUUAAGUCUGAAUUUGGCAAUAAGGAGUUCAUGGUCUGAGCCACAGUCAGCUCCUGGUGUUGUUUUUGCUGACUGUAUAGAGCUUCUCCAUCUUUGGCUGCAAAGAAUAGAAUCAAUCUGAUUUCAGUGUUGACCAUCUGGUGAUGUCCAUGUGUAGAAUCUUCUCUUGUGUUGUUGGAAGAGGGUGUUUGCUAUGACCAGUGCAUUUUCUUGGCAAAACUCUAUUAGUCUUUGCCCUGCUUCACUCCAUAUUCCAAGGCCAAAUUUGCCUGUUACUCCAGGUGUUUCUUUACUUCCUACUCUUGUAUUCCAGUCCCCUAUAAUGAAAAGGACAUCUUUUUAGGUGUUAGUUCUAAAAGGUCUUGUAGGUCUUCAUAGAACCAUUCAACUUCAGCUUCUUCAGCAUUACUGGUUGGGGCAUAGACUUGGAUUACUGUGAUAUUGAAUGAUUUGCCUUGGAAACAAACAGAGAUCAUUCUGUCAUUUUUGAGAUUGCAUCCAAGCACUGCAUUUCGGACUCUUUUGUUGACCAUGAUGGCUACCUCAUUUCUUCUAAGGGAUUCCUGCCCACAGUAGUAGAUGUAAUGGUCAUUUGAGUUAAAUUCACCCAUUCCAGUCCAUUUUAGUUCGCUGAUUCAUAGAAUUCAACGUUCACUCUUGCCAUCUCCUGUUUGACCACUUCCAAUUUGCCUUGAUUCAUGGACCUAACAUUCUAACUUCUUAUGCAAUAUUGCUCUUUACAGCAUUGGACCUUGCUUUUAUCACCAGUCACAUCCACAACUGGGUAUUGUCAUUGUUUUGCCUCUAUCCCUUCAUUCUUUCUGGGGUUAUUUCUCCACUGAUGUCCAGUAGCAUAUUGGGCACCUACCAACUUGGGGAGUUCCUCUUUCAGUAUCCUAUCAUUUUGCCUUUUCAUACUGUUCAUGGGGUUCUCAAGGCAAGAAUACUGAAGUGGUUUUCCAUUCCCUUCUUCAGUGGACCACAUUCUCUCAGACCUCUCCACAUGA